GACGAACGCUGGCGGCGUGCUUAACACAUGCAAGUCGAACGGAAAGGCCCUGCUUUUGUGGGGUGCUCGAGCGGCGAACGGGUGAGUAACACGUGAGUAACCUGCCCUUGACCUUGGGAUAACUUCAGGAAACUGGGGCUAAUACCGGAUAGGAGCUCCUGCUGCAUGGUGGGGGUUGGAAAGUUUCGGCGGUUGGGGAUUGACUCGCGGCUUAUCAGCUUGUUGGUGGGGUAGUGGCUUACCAAGGCUUUGACGGGUAGCCGGCCUGAGAGGGUGACCGGCCACAUUGGGACUGAGAUACGGCCCAGACUCCUACGGGAGGCAGCAGUGGGGAAUAUUGCACAAUGGGCGGAAGCCUGAUGCAGCAACGCCGCGUGCGGGAUGACGGCCUUCGGGUUGUAAACCGCUUUCGCCUGUGACGAAGCGUGAGUGACGGUAAUGGGUAAAGAAGCACCGGCUAACUACGUG
rnacentral:rRNA from 1 species